GGAUAAUCUGCCCUCAGGUGAGGAAUAAUCCCGGGAAACUGGGGCUAAUGCCUCAUAGGAGACGGGUGCUGGAAUGCUCUGUCUCCGAAAGGUCCGCCGCCUGAGGAUGAGUCUGCGUCCGAUUAGGUUGUUGUUGGGGUAACGGCCCAACAAGCCUUUGAUCGGUACGGGUUGUGGGAGCAAGAGCCCGGAGAUGGAUUCUGAGACAUGAAUCCAGGCCCUACGGGGCGCAGCAGGCGCGAAAACUUUACAAUGCGAGCAAUCGUGAUAAGGAAACCCUGAGUGCCUGUCAAUGCAGGCUGUUCUGGUGUCCAACACACACCAGGAGAAAGGGCGGGGCAAGACCGGUGCCAGCCGCCGCGGUAAUACCGGCUGCUCGAGUGAUAGCCACUUUUACUGGGCUUAAAGCGUUCGUAGCUUGGUCGUUAAGUCUCUGGGGAAAUCUUUUGGCUCAACCAAAAGGCGUCUCAGGGAAACUGACGAUCUUGGAACCGGGAGAGGUAAGACGUACUUCGGGGGUAGGAGUGAAAUCUUGUAAUCCCCGAGGGACGACCGAUGGCGAAGGCAUCUUACCAGAACGGCUUCGACAGUGAGGGACGAAAGCUGGGGGAGCAAACCGGAUUAGAUACCCGGGUAGUCCCAGCCGUAAACGAUGUGCGUUAGGUGUGUCAGUGACCACGAGUCGCUGAGGUGCCGAAGGGAAACCGUGAAACGCACCGCCUGGGAAGUACGGUCGCAAGGCUGAAACU
rnacentral:rRNA from 1 species